UCUCUAUCACUCAGUGGUAGAGCAUCUGCUUUGUGUGCAGAAAGUCCUAGGUUCAAUCCCAUACGUCUCUAGGUAGGGUUAA